CCUACGGGAGGCUGCAGUGGGGAAUAUUUGGCAAUGGACGCAAGUCUGACCCAGCAACGCCGCGUGAAGGAAGAAGGCUUUCGGGUUGUAAACUUCUUUUACGGGGGAAGAGCAGAAGACGGUACCCCUUGAAUAAGCCACGGCUAACUACGUGCCAACAGCCGCGGUAAUACGUAGGGGGCAAGCGUUGUCCGGAUUUACGGGGUGUAAAGGGCGUGUAGGCGGAGAGACAAGUCAGCUGUGAAAUCACAGGGCUCAACCCGUGAACUGCAUUUGAAACUGUUUACCUUGAGUGUCGGAGAGGUAAGCGGAAUUCCUUGUGUAGCGGUGAAAUGCGUAGAUAUAAGGAAGAACACCAGUGGCGAAGGCGGAUUACUGGACGAUAACUGACGGUGAGGCGCGAAAGCGUGGGGAGCAAACAGGAUUAGAUACCCCGGUAGUC
rnacentral:rRNA from 1 species